CCCGGCGAAUGCCGCGAGGCCUCUGCCCGGAAAGACCCUGACGCACUUCCCCAGCGCCAGGUUCUCCUUCGGGCAGGGACCUCGAAGCAUUCGCCUUCUCGA
rfam:Rhodococcus erythropolis PR4 DNA, complete genome.